ACUGCUUACAGCCUGUGGUAAAUGCAGGAAUAUAAAAUGAAAGUUCUUAUUCCCAUCUCCUGUUCUUUCUCUCUCUUUUCAGAUACUUUCAGACAUAUCUAUAGAAGUGCUUUAUUUCUUCUUCAUUUUAUUUCUUCAUAUAUAUAAAGUGACCUUUUUAAAAGGUACUUGCUGUGUAAGAAAUCUCUCUUAAUCAGCCAAAUUGUUUAAAGGAGAACAUGAAAGAUAAAAUUAUCUUUGUUUUAUGUUUUCUCUUAGAGAGUGAGUGAGCGAGAGAGAGGUCUGAAGAAUGAUAGAUUAAUCUGGGAAGGUGAAUGACGCUAAAGGUGGAAAUACAAUAGCAGAACACUAACAAAUUAAGAGGAUGGAGGAAAGAUGUGAUGUGUACAACAAAGAAAGUUACAGAAAUUCAGAGAUCUCCCAAGACCAAAUAAUCCUCCUUCAUUGUCUUUUGAAAGGCAUGUCUACUUGGUGGGAUAACGUGCCUUACAGCGGUGUGACUGCUAAAGCACGGUAAAGUAUUGCGUAUUAAUUGGUCUGUGUACAAGUGACUGGUGUGCACUAAAAAUUCAGGGAAGAAUCCUUCUGUUGAUGUAGCUGUGCCUAAUUUAGGGGUUAGGUAGACUUAACCACGGCAUGCAGGGCAUAACAUUUUUCACAGCCCUGAGCAACGUGGCUAGGUCGAUCUAAUUUUUAAGUGUAGAUGAGGCCUGAGAUAAGGUUUCUGCAGUUUUAGAUUUCCUUCCCUAAACUCUUCUCUCAUUGUUUGUGGGCUAAUUCAUUAAAAAUAACUACACUAUAUAGGUUCUGGUUAAAUUUAGUUCUCCAUUUCUUUUAAAUUUAAAAGAUAACUUUUCUUCUUGAUUGCAACCUUCUG
rnacentral:lncRNA from 1 species